rnacentral:rRNA from 1 species
GAUGAACGCUGGCGGCGUGCUUAACACAUGCAAGUCGAACGGAAAGGCUCCUGCUUGCAGGGGUACUCGAGUGGCGAACGGGUGAGUAACACGUGGGUGAUCUGCCCUGCACUUCGGGAUAAGCCUGGGAAACUGGGUCUAAUAUCGGAUAGGACCAUCGUUUAGUGUCGGUGGUGGAAAGUUUUUUCGGUGUGGGAUGAGCUCGCGGCCUAUCAGCUUGUUGGUGGGGUAAUGGCCUACCAAGGCGUCGACGGGUAGCCGGCCUGAGAGGGUGUACGGCCACAUUGGGACUGAGAUACGGCCCAGACUCCUACGGGAGGCAGCAGUGGGGAAUAUUGCACAAUGGGCGCAAGCCUGAUGCAGCGACGCCGCGUGGGGGAUGACGGCCUUCGGGUUGUAAACUCCUUUCGCCAGGGACGAAGCGAAAGUGACGGUACCUGGAUAAGAAGCACCGGCUAACUACGUG